rnacentral:misc_RNA from 1 species
GUGUUAUCAUUAUAAAUUUCUUUCGAAAUGACAUACAAAAGGUAGUUUUGUGUCAAGGAAACAUAGGCCAAUCGCUUGGCCUACAAGAAGUUCACAGGUUUAGAAAAAAGAAGGAUGAGAGAUGUGCACACAAAUGUCUUCCUCUUGGGUAAAGAAGAAGACCAGCAACAACCUCCCCUUUGAAUUGGUUUUUCAAUAAUGAUCCUUCCGCAGGUUCACCUACGGAAA